rnacentral:rRNA from 1 species
UACGAAGGGGGCGAGCGUUGUUCGGAAUUACUGGGCGUAAAGGGCGCGUAGGCGGCCCUCUUUGUCGCGUGUGAAAGCCCCGGGCUCAACCUGGGAACGGCGCGCGAAACGGGGGGGCUGGAGUUCGGGAGAGGAGCGUGGAAUUCCCAGUGUAGAGGUGAAAUUCGUAGAUAUUGGGAGGAACACCAGUGGCGAAGGCGGCUCACUGGACCGGAACUGACGCUGAGGCGCGAAAGCGUGGGGAGCAAACGGG